GUUGCUUGUUAAGCCACCAAGUUCUGGCAUGUUUAUUAUACAGCAACGGAAAGCUGAUAUACAAUAUGUUAAUAUCUCAGGCUGAAAGGGCUUGUAGAGUGCUAAACAAGAUGGAUUUUAGAAAUACAUACACAUUUAGAAGAAGAACACAAAAGACAAAGAAAAAAUUCUAAAUUCUUUUCGGUAAAAGAAAAAAGCAGAUCAUCUUCAAAGGAAAAAUAAUCAGAUUGACAUCAGAAGUCUCAGUAACCCUGGAUAUAGCAGAACUCAUGAUAUUUUUCAAGCAUUAAAAAGAAAGGGAACUUCAAAACCAGGAAUUUUUUUCUUUUUUGGUUAAUGGCUGUUGGUUCAAACAAAUCCAGACGUUUGGUUAGAUAUAAAAGUCUAGAUUGGUUGGAACCAAUCAUUUAAAUAAGAUGGUGAAAUAUUCUCAGGCAUACCAGGCCCCGAAAGUUUUAACACAUAAAACACUGCUUGAAUAUUUAUUAAAAUAAUUACUCCAGCAAGAAGAAAAAUGAAAACCAAGGGCUGGGGAUAUAAAAUUAGAAAAUAAGUUGGCAAAUUCAAGUUAUAUCUAAAUAAGUAUUGCAAAAAGGAAGAAAGAGUGGAGGGAAGAAAGGGAAUGUUGGGUAUAUUCUUAGUAAUCAGAAAAUCCUGAGUGAUAAUAAUUGGGGAAAUGCUAAAUGACAUUGUAGGUAAGUAGUAGGACUCUAGAGACGAAUAAUUUGGGUCUAAAUCUUGCCUCAGUCAUUCUGGCUGGAUUGCCUUCAAUAAGUUAUUUAACCUCUCUGAGCCUCAGUGUCUCAUUUGCUUAAAAUGGGCUUGAUGAAACAGAACCCAUAUCACAGGCUUAUUCUGAGCAUUAAAGGAGUCCAGUUGUAAAUCCCUUGGAUUCAUAACUGGCUUACAGUAAGCUUUCAAUAAAUGUUUGAAGUUAUUAUUAAUAUGGGGAGGAGCUAAAGGAAGGUGGGAAAUAAAUAAUCAAAACCACUGAACCACAUUAAUUCAGAUAUAAAUAAACAUUUUAAAGAUAAUAAUGAAUAUGCUAGGAAUGGAAAAGGUGUAUUAGGUGGUCAGGAAAGGCCUCCCUGCCGAAGUGACUUCUCAGCUGCGACUGGAAUGAUAAGAGGAUCAUGAUGAAAAUUACCAAGGACAGAGCCCCACUCCCUUAAACCAUUCCAGGGAGUGAGCAGGUCCUCAGUGAGGAAUGGCUUGUGCUUUCCAGGAGGCACCCCCCAGAUGCAGGGCUUGCAGAUGCAAAAGUUCCUGAAAGCACGUAUGACGUUGCAGUGAGUCUCCCAUUUUCAUGGAGCUAUGGGAGCUUGAAAUAUGACCAGGGGCCUUCCUAAAUUGGCUGUUCUGCAGAGGAAUUUCAGGACUUUUGCAUAUCCUGGGGAGACAGUAGAGAGGAGAGAAAACUCUAACAAUGACUAAAAUUGAAUUUCCCAUCAAUUCAGAGGGAUGGGGAUCUCAAAGUCAGCUUCAUUAAAGAACACGUGACAUUUCUUGUAAAUUCCAGUUUGUGCAGUAAGAUUCACAUGCUUACUAUAAAAGCGGUUCUUUGGCUUACUUGUUUCUUCUACCUUGCUUCCUCUUCCUUUAACCCAGCCUUAUGAUAGUCAUAUUUGAAGUUCCUUUGGGAAGGAAUGCAUAUUCAUUUGAUGAAAUUGGGGAAAUGGUGUCAAUUACUAGAGCCCCUGUAAUCACAGCUGAGCCUUUUAAUCACAGCAAUGUCCACAUGGGGCUCUGCUCAGUUAACAUCAUGAGGCUCAAGUUAGUAUCUCUUUGGAGUGAAAAGCUCUUUCUGAAUCAUAACUUUGUGGUCAGAUAAGAGAAAGUUUCUAGGUCUUAGCUCAGUAGGAAAGGUAACUGCCAUCAGAAUUCCAGACCAUCUUUCAUAACUUCUCGAAGAGGUGACAAUAACUACCAUCACCAUCAUUCCUCUGGCCCUAUCUGUGACUCAGAACCAGUUCUGAUAUUUUGACAUUGCCCAUUGGUACCCAACGCUUCCCUCUGGUGUUCCUAGUUUCACUAGUGACUUUAGAUCUCUGAACACUCUGACUGUCACGGUGGUGUUUUGGACCCUCACUAGGAUAGAAUGGCCAUAGUUUUGGGGAGAUGCUGAUUCACUCUAAUCUCCUACUGGGCUCUCAAAUAUAUUAUCGUGGAAGAACAUUACCCUACUGGCUAAUUUCAUAAAGAUAUCGUGUUUGUUAAGGUCUGUGAUGCGACGUAUCUUAUUGCAUGGCCUUAGGCAAGUUACUUAACCUCUCUAAGACUCAGUCUCUUUAUCUGUAAAGUGGAGGAAGUAAUAGGAUUGAUCCUGCGAGGUUAUGAUGAGGAGUAAGUGAGAUAAUACAUGUAAAGCACUUAAUAAAGUGACUGGGUCAUAAUAGCUUAUAGUAAGUGCUUAACACAUUUUUGCUAUACAUGGCAUUGGUGACAAGAGAGAGGUUUAUAUCAAAUAGGAUCCAAUCUGUAAAAUAGAAGCCAUGCUAUUCAUCCCAGGAUUUAUGUUUUAAUAUAGAGAACUAGGGGCUUACACAACUACUGGAGAAGCUGGGGGAGCCAAGCAUCAGAGAAACCAUUCCUCAAAUCUCAGCCUGAAGCUCUGGAUUGGGUGCUUCUCAUGAGCUCACCAGAAAUCACUAAAAUUUCUAGCAAUUCCUGGGGUACCUCCACCAACAAUCUCAGUCUGAGUGAUGAUGAGAGUGCAGCACAUCCAAAGCUCGCUGAGAGAGGCUGUAACUGUCAGUUUGUCUGCCUCUGGUUGCCACUGUCAUUCCCCAACUCUCCAUCCCGAGUAAGGCCUCAACUUCUAUCCUGCUUGCAUGUCUCAAAUGGGUGCCCCUCAGUGGUAGACUCCAAUCAGGAACCAUAUGGUGGUGCGGGGUGUAGGGGUAGCGGGGGAUUAUAUAGUUCCCAGCUCCUUGUUUGCAUCUCCUUCUCAUACCAAAGCAUUAACCAGUAUUUCUCUUACGGAGCAAACUGAACUGGUUAGAUUUCCUCAUCUAUUUUUACUCUGGAUGCAGAAGCUAAAGAGCAGGGGAAGAGUUCAGAGUCAAAAACCAACCUGGGUAAUUGAGUGAGUAAUCCUGGAGUAACUGAGGUUGUUCUGUAAUCUGUAUUUUUUUUAUUAUACUUUAAGUUUUAGGGUACAUGUGCACAAUGUACAGGUUAGUUACAUAUGUAUACAUGUGCCAUGCUGGUGCACUGCACCCACUAACUCGUCAUCUAGCAUUAGGUAUAUAAAAAAUCUCUUCCUAUACCCCCAGGGUAUAUUUCUUAUUAAAAUAACAACUGCAUGAAUUUAUAUAACAUCUUUCAGUUUGUAAAGAAUUUCUAUGAUCAUUAUCUUCAUUUUUAUUCUCACAACAGCUCUAUGAGGUAUAUAUUACUCUAGGGUCACAAGUGUGAAAACCAAGGCUCCAAGACUCUCCCAGCCUAAAUGUAGACCUCCUAAGCCAGCCCUACCAUCAUCUUCCUUAGUGUAAUAAAUAUAGAAGUAAAUAUAUCAAUAAGCAAGUAUCUGGAGAGCAUGUCCAUGCCAAAAGUAAAAAUAAUCCAAACACAAAAUUUAAAAGCUAUGUUAUUGAUGUUAAAAAUGUUUCAACUAUAUAAUACAAAUCAUAAGGGUCUUUUGACAAGUCAUAAUUAGACCAACAGGAUAUUAAAUUCAGACAGGACCUUUACAGCCUAGUCUCCUUUGCCCAGAAGGCUAAAACACUUACCUGAGACAUAUGACUUGAUAAUAAUGGAUUUAGAAUGGGAGUUUAUGUUGAUGAACUCCAAGACCCACUGGUGAUUAUUUUCAUGUUGACGUGGACUUGGUACAUUACAAUGUUAGUUUUAGUACUAGAGAUUACCUCCCGUUUUUAGUACUGUUCUUUCCCCACUGCCUAUAGAAAUUAUGAAUAUCAGAAGCUUUUACACCAGACAGUAAGUCUUUGAUUAAACUUGGGAGGCCCAAGCACAAAGUUUUGAUUGACAAUAAUGUAAUCCAGGGCAGGAAGCAAGCCUGAAAUGGGUUCUAAGGAAGAUAGUUCCGAUAUGCCUCAAGCAUGCUGAAGACAUCUGCACCAAUUAAAAGGCAAUUAAAUGCGUAAUAAAUGGAAAUUCUACAAAAUUGUUCCGUAAAAAACUCCAAGUGGGAGCUGCUGGGGUGUACUUGCUGAGUGAGAAAUGUGUGCCAAGAUGAAGGUUACCCAUUUUUUAGCUGAUGUGCUGCUCUGCGAUGCCAGCAAGACAUCGUUAAAAGUGACAAUUCAGAAACAGUUCUUUUAGGAGUUCCACUUCAGCAUAUGAGAAUGGUGAAAUUUCUGCUGGUUCCAUGCGUGGGAGAAAAAGGAAUGCAAAGCACACAAAUGAGGGUGGACUGGAGAUAGAGGGAAACAGGGAGAGUGACACUGCUUGGCAGUUCUGCCAUGGCCUGGAGCCUGUGAAUCUGAGCAUUCCGUGAUAAUGAGGGGCAGCACAGAAGAGGCUGAACAUGACAAUGAUGUUCUGAGCCAGUAAGAUGAGCUAAUGAGCUGUAUAGACCGUAGCAGCCAAUAUGCUCCCUUUGGGAUAAUGGUCACCCCAUCUUUUCUGUCUGAUUUCAUGCCACUCCAUGGUCCAGGAAAAAAUAUGCCAGGGUUGAAUCCUGAUAUAACAAAUAUUUAUCAUCCAGUCUUAUAUUACAGGCCUCUUGGGCACCAGAUAACAGGGUGAAUCACAAUCAUGGUCAAUCGGGGAAACAGAAUCACUAUUUGUCAUGAGAUAAGGAGUUUCUUAUAGGAGUUAGACCUAGCUCAAUUAUGAGAGGAGCUGGGGAGGUGAUGGUGCAGGAGGGAAGUGGGAGGAUCAGAGUAGUCAACAUCCAGUGUGACUGAGAAGCCAAGUAUGUCCAGCCUCCAUGGGACUUUGCAGACAAGAGGGUCACAGGAUGCCUCUGUGGGUGACUGUGCCUCUGCAGGUCUGCUGGCAAGCAUCUGAGGUAGGACCCAGGGCUCUCCUUCGUCAACCAGAUGAACGGUCGGGAAGAACUGGAAGCAGUGAGGAGGAGAGUGAGGACAAGCUGGAGCUCGCUGGUACCUUGGCAUUUUUUGGUCACUGCAUCUAACCUUGAUGACCUUCAGCCAGAAACCAUUGCUGCCUCACUUUUGCCUUCUAUAUCCCAUACAAGUACCCUUUUGGCCAACUCUCAACCAGAAACAUACAAGGAUGGGGAUCUUAGGAGGUGAUUUAACAGAGUUGGCACAGGACAAACUACCCCCUAGGGUGAGUAGUGAUGACUGGAAUGAUCUGGGUUGAAGCUGAGAUUUCAGGUUAACAUGCAAGGUACAGGAAGAAGAGAGAAGGAGGUGAGGACCCAGAACCAGCUCAAGAACUGGAGAGGCAAGGCAUGGGAAAGUUGUGUGGUCUGAACAAAUACAUUUCAGGGAAAAUAAAACUGGCUUUAUUUCACCCUGGGUGCUGAAGCCAUGCUCAUUUUAAGCACUCAAUGGACUUGACUUGAAGGUGGGCAUGAGGCUCCUGAAUGUUAAAAGGGCUGUCAUUUAUUAGAACAUUCCUUAAUCUGGUCUGCAUAAUCAAGACUACUCUUGUUCAAAGCACCAGGACAGGAACCCACAAACAGAGUUGGCUGGAGCCACCCAAAUUCAAGUAUUUCUCCAUAACAGAAAUGUUAUCUACCUCAAGUUUUAGGAUGACAGUGAAAGAAGCUGCUUAGAAGGACUCAGUUACUUUCUAGAUGAAUUUUGUACAGGCCUACCGAGAUAGGUAGGUAGCUAUAAAGACUUACAGAUAAAAUAAGCACUCUACAAAUAAAACUACAAUAUGUUUAUAACAACUACUUUUUCUUAAAUCAGGUAUUAAUUACUAACUCAGGUUAUGAUAGUAACUUGAGUAUGGAUAUAUACUUGCCCAGGAACUGAUAAAGAAAUAUCUCUAUAGGGGUUUCCUAGAUCUUGCAGGUAGUGAAUAAGAAUGUACCUAAUGCUAAAUGACGAGUUAAUGGGUGCAGCACACCAGCAUGGCACAUGUAUACAUAUGUAACUAACCUGCACAUUGUGCACAUGUACCCUAAAACUUAAAGUAUAAUAAUAAUAAAAUAAAAUAAAAUAAAAAAAUAAUAAAAGCUUAAAAAAAAUGCCAAACCCACAUGAAGGUAGGCUCAAGGUUACAAUUUCUUACAGGAAACGUUUUACAAAAUUUCCAACCAGAAUUCAUGCCAAGAUAGGCCAGCUUCCUUAUUUCCCUUUGCUGGUGAGGUGAUUUUUUUUGUUCUAUUGUGCCUUUUUCUAGGCAUAGGCCUUUGAGGGAUCUGAAUUUCUGUGUGGCUUCCCAUUGCUUAAUUUGCAGGUCUCAAGGCCUUGUCUCCAUCCUUCAGCACUGCCAUUCAUUCACACCCAAACCUCUUGGUUCCGAAAAUGGGUCCUUGUUUUGGCUUAUAGCUCCACUGGUAGCAGCCUGUUCAUCUCCUGUUCUCCGGUUCCUUGAAAUUCCCUUACUUUCUUCUGAAUCCAACCAUGCAUUUGAAACUACUUGUUAUAUUUUAUGCUAGAUUUCUUGUAUUUUGUAUCAGAGUUGUUCAGUGGUUGUAGAAUUCCAGAUUUAUGGAAAAGGAAGUUGCCAAGAUGAUCACUAAAAUUCCUUCUGGUCAACAAUGUGCUACACAAUGUAGCACUGUCAGACUAGAAUUCUCAGUAUUACCCAGAAUCCAAGAAAAACAGCCUUGGCCAAGAAAGGUUUCCUCAUUUGUCUUCUAGGAGUCUAGGGGUGGGAGAGUAUGCCCAUCCCAUUAUCCUACACUCAUUAUAUUGUUGGAGUUCUUUGAAAUAGUGAAAGAAGUCUUUUCUUCUCUGGCAUUUAUGUUCUUUAUGUUCAUGGAUGGCGAGAAACCCUAAUCAUUACCAAUCUCUUUAAAGGCAAAGGUGUCUUAGUGCUCAGUUGUGAUUUUGAAGCUCCAAAUUAAUGAUCUGUUGAAUAAUGGAGAUAAACUCCCGGGAAUUCCUAGAUCCAGCAAACCAUCUGCUCUUCUCUCUGGUGCACUGAAGAUAAUUCGAACUCACCAGUCAGUGUGCCUUUUCCAGCUUAAGAACCAGUCGGUACCUGG
rnacentral:lncRNA from 1 species